AGCAGCCGCGGUAAUUCCAGCUCCAAUAGCGUAUAUUAAAGUUGUUGCAGUUAAAAAGCUCGUAGUUGAAUUUCGGGGUCAAUAAGUUGGUCAUGCCAAUGGUAUGCACUGGCUUUAUUGAUUCCUACCUCUUGACGAACUGUGAUGCCAUUAAUCUGGUGUUGCAAGGAAUCAGGACUGUUACCUUGAAAAAAUUAGAGUGUUUAAAGCAAGCUUACGCUUGAAUACAUUAGCAUGGAAUAAUGAAAUAGGACGUUUGAUCCUAUUUUGUUGGUUUUUAGGAUUCGACGUAAUGAUUAAUAGGGAUAGUUGGGGGCAUUAGUAUUCAAUUGUCAGAGGUGAAAUUCUUGGAUUUAUUGAAGACUAACUACUGCGAAAGCUAUUUGCCAAGGUAUGUUUUCAUUAAUCAAGAACGAAAGUUAGGGGAUCGAAGA
rnacentral:rRNA from 1 species